rnacentral:rRNA from 1 species
UACGGGAGGCAGCAGUGGGGAAUAUUGCACAAUGGGCGCAAGCCUGAUGCAGCCAUGCCGCGUGUAUGAAGAAGGCCUUCGGGUUGUAAAGUACUUUCAGUCGUGAGGAAGGUGUUAAGGUUAAUAACCUUAGCAAUUGACGUUAGCGACAGAAGAAGCACCGGCUAACUCCGUGCCAGCAGCCGCGGUAAUACGGAGGGUGCGAGCGUUAAUCGGAAUUACUGGGCGUAAAGGGCACGCAGGCGGUUAAUUAAGUUGGAUGUGAAAUCCCCGGGCUUAACCUGGGAAUGGCAUUCAAGACUGGUUAGCUAGAGUCUUGUAGAGGGGGUAGAAUUCCAUGUGUAGCGGUGAAAUGCGUAGAGAUGCGGAGGAAUACCGGUGGCGAAGGCGGCCCCUGGGACAAAGGCUGACGCUCAUGUGCGAAAGCGUGGGGAGCGAAAC